CACCCUGUGGAGCUGGCUCAUUCUGGAUGUGUGAUUGGUGAACACACUCUGUGGAGCAGCUGGCAUGUAUACACAACCCCAGAACUACCCGGGAGAGAACUUACGAAUUUAAAAAGGAAAAAAUAGUCUACUUUGGGCCUCCCUGCUUAGGUUGCUGCCCCCGCGACCCGACCCCCGGACAAGCGGCAGAUAACGAACGAACGAACGAGUCUUCCACUUUGUGGAAGGAGUUGACGUCAUUGUUAUAGAAUCUGAAGUAAAGGCAGAAAAGAGAGUGUAGCGCCGGGCCAUGGGGUGCUGUUUCAGCAGCGCGGAGGGGGAGGGCGAUGAGAAGCACGGCGGCGACGGCGACGGCUGCAAAAGCUGCUGUCUGAAGACCAGGAACUGUCUGAUGAGUGGAGAGUGUGGACGGGCGCUUCAGAUAGCCAAUGUCUGUGCCAUGUGUGGCAUGUGCAUCCGCAUGUUUGCCUAGUUAUAAUCAGACUGUGACUCAAUACAUUUUCAAACAUGUCUGGAUACUUCUCACAACCACAAAGUGCCUUGAACAAAAUAAUGUGCAGCACAGCCUGUUCUUCUUCUGGGAUCCACCCAGCACCACACCAAAGACCCGCCCUGUCUUACAGCCUUGGAAUCUGGUCAUGUGCUGGAGUGAAGCAGGACGCCACAAGUACAGCACACACGUUACUUCCUGAAAGGACACAAAUGCCUAAACACGAACAGCAGCCAUUUUUUAAGUCUUAGAACUAGCAGGAGCCUGAAAAUCAAUUCAUAUGGGCAAACCAACUGCACUAAAGGGCGUGCUUGCCCAUUACUUGAGAACAAUGUCCAUGAGCAAGACUGAGAGAGGGAAAGAAAAAGUAACUUUUUAUUCCACAUGCUGUAUAGAACCCUUUGUUUAGUCACAUAGCAUUGUGGGUUUUGAGUAAAUAUCUGAAUCUUUUUAUGUAACAAUCAAUAAUUGUUAUAUGAGCUACAGCAGGUUAUACUUUUCAUUGUACGGCGCUCGUCAUUCAGCUAGUUAUUGUUUGUAUUGACUGAGCCAAGGCUGCUUGUUUACUCAUUUAUAACAGUCGUGGUUAUUAUCGGAGGAUAGCUCGGGGCUCACCCAAGCCCCAGUAUCAGCAGAGCAUUGAGCUUCAUCAUGAAAGAUUGACAGCGAGUAAAAGUGCAGUGUAGCACAUCCUCACGAGCGCCCAGUUUACAGUAGUCGGUUGUGCUCUGAGCUUUAGCUCGAGAACGUGCCACAGUGUGUAUCUUUAGAUGUCCUGCUCACUGUGUUAUCUCCUUGACUCUGUAGACAUGCUUUCCUGAUCUGUUGGCUGUUAAAGCUGAAGUGGUAUAAGGGGAGCUGAUUAUCGUACAUUCAAUUACACACAGGCUGUAAGCUUGCUUUGGAGAAAAGUAAUACUUUACUUUUAUAUUUAAUUGAUGGAAGCAUAUUUCUUUUUUUUAAUUAUUAUUAUGUGGUUCCCCAGUUGAUUGCUAGUGUUACUGAUAGGAUAUUUGCUCCUCUCUGUGAUUGUAUUGUGUAGGCUACUGUAACUGGGAAUAAAUGGAAUGAUUUAGGAUUGGAGAGGAUUUGGAGA